rnacentral:lncRNA from 1 species
GGUAAUCAAUGUCUAUGACCGGAGGAUUCAGUUCCACAUGGCGGCCGUCGACGGUUUCGCGCUGGAUUCCUCCUUUCUCUAGCUUCCAGCGGCGGUUGUUGUUCCUCCGGUGGGGAUUCUGGUUCUUCCGGUUCGGCAUCUGGUUGUCGGACUUGGGACGAUGAUCCACCUUCAAAGAAUAGUGUAUGUGGAGGUGUUUGCAUAAUGAACGGCGACGGAGUUUGAAAGCCAUGCGUUGCUGGCGAUUGGUAAAAAGGAGAGCUCUCCG